rnacentral:tRNA from 1 species
GCGCGGGUGGCGAAAUGGUAGACGCGCUAGUUUCAGGAGCUAGUGGGGUAAAACGUGUGUGAGUUCGAGUCUCAUCUCGCGCA